rnacentral:lncRNA from 1 species
GCCUAGGCGCGGGGCAGGACGGGACCGGUGAGUGGCUCCUCCAAACAGCUAUAGAGACCCAGAAAUGCCUGUGGAAAGCUACAGAGGACUUGGGCAAGGCGUUAGAGCCGGACGUUGUGGUCCCUGGGGGAGCCAACCGGGGAGGUGCCUAUGAUCUUUCUUUCCAAGUUUGAGGGUUCAGGUCUGUGUUCGCCUGCUGGUUAGACCGAUUUAAGUUUUAGAGUCCCAGGAGUUCUGGGCGAGCUGCAGCCUAGGGGCCUGGAAGGCCAGGAAGACUUGAAGGAUCUGUGUUGGGCAAGCAGUUAAGAAGGGAAGAUGAACAUAAAGUAGGGAAGAGCAAAAAUGAGUUGGAACCUAAGACACGAGCUGGUCAUUCUUUCACUGUCUCCAACUUUAAAGAUAUGAGUAUCCUUGCUAGAGGAGCUGACACUUUUUGCCACAGGACUAGACACACACACAGCUCAGGAAUCAAAAAAGGUGAAGGAAGACUCAGGGAAAAGCUUCUGCCCCAUCCCAACAAGGUGAACCAGCUGAUUGGUGACAAAGUAGAUGAGCCGCAGUAGCACCUAGUGUCCCUGCACCACCGUUUCAAGUAUAAAACUGGAGGGAUGCUUCAGUUCUCCCCUUCAAGACUUACACAACCAUGUCUCUGUUGGGCUAUUCUAACCAGAAACAAAAGGAAAGGAAAUUCUGGGAAACAUAGUUUAGCUUAGCAAAGUUGAUAUAUUACAAAAUUACCACUGUCCACUCUGCAUCGAGUUGACAUCCAUACAGACCUCUUUAAAACACACUUUCAAAAUAAAGUCCACACCCUACACAUAAGCUAUCUCUAGAGAAAUUUGAAGUCUGUUGUGCACUGAGGAUAACCACAACAACAAACUGUAAACCUAGCCCAAUUUCUGACUAGACUGAUACCACCGAACCACUGCUAUGCACUCAAGAGCACUAAAGGCCUAGCAGAAGGAAAGACACACUCAUCUCCAAGCAUAAAAACAAUCUUUACUUCAUACUGUGAAGAGAGAAUUGAAAAAAUAAUUUAAGCAAAAAAAAUACAACAUGACUAACUUUUAACAGAAAGAAAAAAAGACGCAUACAGAAAGGCAAGAAAAAACACAGUCCAAAGAGAUAAAACAAUCAUUAGAACCAGAUUCAUAAGACAUAGACAUUAGAAAUAUGAGAGAAUUUUAAAUAACUGUGAUUAAUGUGAUGAAGGCCCUAAGGGGAAAGGUGAACAAAAUGCAAGCUCAGAUGGGUGAUUUUAGCAAAUAGAUGGAAACUAUCAGGAAAAAUAAAAUGGAAACUAUAAAAAUAAAAAAUAUAAUAAUAGAGAUGAAGAAUGCCCUCCAUGGGCCCAUUAGGAGACUGAACACAGUUGAGGAAAAAAUCAGACUUGAAGGUAGGUAAAUAGAAAUUGCUGAAACACACACACACACACACACAAAAAGAGUGACAGAAACAGAACACAGCAUCCAAGACUGGUGGGAAAAUAUCAACAUCAAAUCAAGAAAUAGGCGCAGUGGCUCACCCCUGUAAUCCCAGCACUUGGGGAGGCCGAGGCAGGCAGAUCACGAGGUCAGGAGAUCGAGACCAUCCUAGCUAACGCAGUGAAACCCCGUCUCUACUAAAAAUUCAAAAAAAUUAGCCGGGCAUGGUAGCAGGCACCUGUCGUCCCAGCUACUCGGGAGGCUGAGGUAAGAGAAUUGCGUGAACCCGGGAGGCGGAGCUUGCAGUGAGCUGAGAUCACACCACUGCACUCCAGCCUGGGCGACAGAGCAAGACUCUAUCUCAAAAAAAAAAAAAAAAUCAAGAAAUAAUGGCUGAGAAUUUCCAAAAUUUGUAAGACACCAAACCAAUCCAAGGAGCUCAGAGAACACAGAGCAGGAUAAAUUCUUUAAAAAGAAACUAAGCUUAUUGUAUUCAAACUAAGCUUAUUGUAUUGAUACCUGGUAGUUAUAACUUACCAAAUACACUGCCCAACAUCUCCAGAUGAUCUAUUAUUUCUGAAAGUUUCCUUUAUUACAUUUCUUACUUCAGGGAGAUAUAGCCUUCGCUUCAUGUUAUGGUUGGUGCAGUCAGUAUUCUCAGAAAGAAAGUACUGGUUCCAUUUUACCUCCAUCUUUUGUUUCCUGUCAGAAAACCUACCAUACCACCAAGUACUCCUUCUCUACACUGCCUCUGAUAUUUAAGUAAUUUGAGAAUUCUGUUGAGACUAUCUCCCUUUUUUGGUAUGAUGAAUCUGGUCCUAAAUUGCAUGCCAAAGACUUUGAGAACUAAACUGUAGACCCAGAUCUCAUGUCCCAGACUGGCCUUUUGUUACCCACACAAUGAAUGGGUUAAAUUGCUUGGCAGGGGACAGUCCAAUGACCACAACCAAGGAGGAUUUCCCAGGGGGAUUUUAUUACUUGCGAUAAGUAAGGAGGACACUGGGAAUAAUUCCCCAAAGCAAUGCCUCCCUGAGCAAUGGUGCAAACAUGGCUUUUAUUAGUCUGGUUAGCUGAGUCAUUGUAUGUAGAGGUGGAGUCAAGGCAGCGCAGUCCCAGUUGUCGGUUAUGCUGCUACAUAUGUCACAUGUAUAGAAAAUGGUGAAUAAGCUCCUCCUUGGACAGGAUUUUAAGUAUGGUGAUGAGGAAAGUUGGCCAAAGUUCAUCUCCAACUCAGGCAUCUCUGGGUCCAACUGGUCUUUGUUUUUCCUGGGCUAAGCUUCUUCCUGGAACUUUUUAAAACAAAAAUUCAAGAUGUAACAGUUACAAGUGUGUAACUUUUUCACAGUGCGUACCCAAAACCCAAGGACCCUGGGUUACACUUUAGGUGCCACCCAUGUGGGACCUAUCAGAAGAGUACUACAAAGGCUUUGAAAACUGAACUGACAUUGGAACCACAACCCUCAGAAGGCUGGUCAAAACUUAUGACUUGAACCCAAAUGGGUUAAUUACCCUUUAAAACAUAAAUAUCAACAUCCUCCACCAAAUUUAACCAAGACCCAGAGCAUCCUAAUGACAUUCAAAAUGUCCAGGAUACAAUCGAUAUUAAUUGGCAGGUGAAGAACCAGGAAAAUCUCAACUCACGUUGGGAAAAAAUGUAACAGAUGCAGAAUGUAAGUUGCCACACAUGUUGGAAUUAUCAAGACUAUAAAGCUGCUAUUCAAAUGGAAAGUUUAAAAGUCUCAGAGAAGUAAUAGAAAAUACAAAGAAUAGCCCCAUGGAAAUUUUAGAACGGGAAAAUACAAAAACCGUCAUCACAUCAUAUCCGGGGCACAUGCUGUCAACAUUGCUCAUCACUGUUGAUGUUAACCUUGAUCACCCGGCUGAGGUAGUAUUUGAUGGGUUUCUCCCUGUAAAGUUAUUCUUUCCCCUCCCCCUAUUUUACUGUUUAGUGGGAAGUCACUAUGUGCAGCCCAUGCCUAAAAAGGGAGUAGUUGGUGGGCACGGUGGCUCACGCCUGUAAUCCCAGCACUUUGGGAGGCUGAGUGGGUGGAUCACCUGAGGUCAGGAGUUCGAGACCAGCUUGGCCGACAUGGUGAAACCCCGUCUCUGCUAAAAAUACAAAAAUUAGCCAGGCAUGGUGGUGCACGCCUGUAAUCCCAGCUAUUCAGGAGGCUGAGGCAGGAGAACUGCUUGAACCUGGGAGGCAGAGAUUGCAGUGAUCCUGCCAUUGCACUCCAGCCUGGGCGAUGAGCAAAAUUCCAUCUCAAAAGAAAAAAAAGUGAGUAGUUAUAUUUCCCCUCCUUGCGGUGGAGUAUCUACAUUCUUCUGCAUGAGAAAUUUGUCAGUUAUCUCCUAUUUAUUCAAUUAUUUAUAUUAUGAAUUCAUGGAUUCCUAUUUUAUACUUUGGGUAUAAUCCAAUACUAUGUUGUUUAUUUUACUGCUCAGAUUAUUCCUGUGUUGGCCAUUGGGAACUUUUUCAGUUGACAUCUGUGUCCCUUUGACAAACUCCUGUCAUUUUGUGGGGAAGAGGGAGUAGCACUUUCUUACUUUCUACCGCUACAAAAUCCUCCAGUCUUAUCUUGUAUUUCUCUUCCCUAACCCUAAAGUCAAUCAUUCUCAUUUCUCUAAUGAUAAAUGAUGUUAAACAUCUUUUCAUAUGCUUUCUUAUUAUCUGUAUAUCUUCUCUGAUGAUUACCAAGGAUGGGAAGGGUAGUAGGGGGAAAGUGGAGAUGGUUAAUGGGUACAAAAAAUAGAAUGAAUAAGAAUUAGUAGUUGAUAGCACAACAGGGUGAUUACAGUCAAAAAUAAUUGUACAUUAUAAAAUAACUAGUAUAAUUGGAUUAUUUAUAACAAAGGCUGAAGGCUUGAGGUGAUAAAUACCCCAUUUACCCUGAUGUGACUAUUACACAUUGCAUACCUGUAUCAAAAUACCUUGUAUACCCCAUAAAUAUAUAACCUACUAUGUACCCAUUUAAAUAAAAAAAGUUUUUAAAAAA